CCCCACUGCCCCUUGGCCCCCUUCAGCAGACGCUUCCAAAGUAGGUCCCCAACCUGCUGUCUACACAGGAGCCACGUUGGCCCGAGUUCGAAUGUCCAGGGACGCUGCUUCAGGAGCGCUGCUGGAGAGGAGCCUCUGGCCCGCUGGCAGAAGGGUUGGUAGCAGAUUGCAGUAUGAGCUCUGCAGAAGCAUCAUCACUUCUGAAUAAAUGAGCUCUAGGCAGAGAUGCUGUCUCCUGUCCUGGAGAAAGAACCCCCUUAUCCACACUUCAGGGACCUGACCAAGAUACCAGGACUCAAAUGCACCCUCCUCAAGUGUAAAGGAAGAUGAAAGGCAGCAAAACGAGUAAGUGACCAAACUCUGAUAACUAUUAUUAGGUUAGAACUAUUCUUCAGCUAUGAUUGUUACCACCCUUGCAAGGAAAUGUGAUGUGAAAUAGUUGUUUCUUUCUUUCUUUCUUUCUUUC